AAUCAUUUGCCUUUUAAUGGAGGCUGGUAUGAAUGGCAAGACGGAGGUUUAGCUGUCUCUCUUUUAGAAUCUUGAAUUUGCCAUCUUCGUGAAGAGGCGAAGAUAAAGUCGUAGGACGAGAAGACCCUAUCGAGCUUAAGCUUUAUAAUAGAGUUGAAAAAUUUUUGUUUUUAGGCUAAUUGAAAAACGACUUAAUUUUACCUAGGAAUAAAGAUUAACUACUAUUAGAAUGUUUUGGUUGGGGCAACCGCGGAGAAAAUUCACCCUCCGUUACAAAAUUAGAAAAACUUACUACUUUGGGAAAUUUUAAAGUUUAAAAAUGAUCCACUAAAAAGUGAUCAAAGGAAUAAGUUACCGUAGGGAUAACAGCGUAAUUUUUUUGGAGAGUUCAUAUUGAUAAAAAAGUUUGCGACCUCGAUGUUGGAUCGGGACUUCCAGGAGAUGCAGAAGUUUCCAAGGGUUGGUCUGUUCGACCAUUAAAGUCCUACGUGAUCUGAGUUCAGACCGGA
rnacentral:rRNA from 1 species